GAUGAACGCUGGCGGCGUGCCUAAUACAUGCAAGUCGAGCGGUAAGGCUCCUGCAGUUUAUUUGACAAGCCAGGUCGUGACUUCGUAAGAAGUCACAUCGUUUAACGAAAGAAGAACGAGUGACCGGCACCCAACUUACAGGCUAGUAAGAAGGGUCAAAUAAAGUGCUGGAGUACACGAGCGGCGGACGGCUGAGUAACACGUAGGAACGUACCCCAAGUGAGGGAUAAGCACCAGAAAUGGUGUCUAAUACCGCAUGUGGUCUUCGGACUAAAGCUCCGGCGCUUUGGGAACGGCCUGCGCAUGAUUAGCUUGUUGGUGAGGUAAUGGCUCACCAAGGCGACGAUCAUUAGCUGGUCUGAGAGGAUGAUCAGCCAGACUGGGACUGAGAACGGCCCAG
rnacentral:rRNA from 1 species